CAAGCGAAGCGGGUUGCUAUACAUGCAGUAGAACGCUGAAGAGAGGAGCUUGCUCUUCUUGGAUGAGUUGCGAACGGGUGAGUAACGCGUAGGUAACCUGCCUUGUAGCGGGGGAUAACUAUUGGAAACGAUAGCUAAUACCGCAUAACAAUGGAUGACACAUGUCAUUUAUUUGAAAGGGGCAAUUGCUCCACUACAAGAUGGACCUGCGUUGUAUUAGCUAGUAGGUGAGGUAAUGGCUCACCUAGGCGACGAUACAUAGCCGACCUGAGAGGGUGAUCGGCCACACUGGGACUGAGACACGGCCCAGACUCCUACGGGAGGCAGCAGUAGGGAAUCUUCGGCAAUGGGGGCAACCCUGACCGAGCAACGCCGCGUGAGUGAAGAAGGUUUUCGGAUCGUAAAGCUCUGUUGUAAGUCAAGAACGGGUGUGAGAGUGGAAAGUUCACACUGUGACGGUAGCUUACCAGAAAGGGACGGCUAACUACGUGCCAGCAGCCGCGGUAAUACGUAGGUCCCGAGCGUUGUCCGGAUUUAUUGGGCGUAAAGCGAGCGCAGGCGGUUUGAUAAGUCUGAAGUUAAAGGCUGUGGCUCAACCAUAGUUCGCUUUGGAAACUGUCAAACUUGAGUGCAGAAGGGGAGAGUGGAAUUCCAUGUGUAGCGGGGAAAUGCGUAGAUAUAUGGAGGAACACCGGUGGCGAAAGCGGCUCUCUGGUCUGUAACCUGACGCUGAGGCUCGAAAGCGUGGGGAGCGAACAGGAUUAGAUACCCUGGUAGUCCACGCCGUAAAACGAUGAGUGCUAGGUGUUGGAUCCUUUCCGGGAUUCAGUGCCGCAGCUAACGCAUUAAGCACUCCGCCUGGGGAGUACGACCGCAAGGUUGAAACUCAAAGGAAUUGACGGGGGCCCGCACAAGCGGUGGAGCAUGUGGUUUAAUUCGAAGCAACGCGAAGAACCUUACCAGGUCUUGACAUCCCGAUGCUAUUUCUAGAGAUAGAAAGUUACUUCGGUACAUCGGUGACAGGUGGUGCAUGGUUGUCGUCAGCUCGUGUCGUGAGAUGUUGGGUUAAGUCCCGCAACGAGCGCAACCCCUAUUGUUAGUUGCCAUCAUUCAGUUGGGCACUCUAGCGAGACUGCCGGUAAUAAACCGGAGGAAGGUGGGGAUGACGUCAAAUCAUCAUGCCCCUUAUGACCUGGGCUACACACGUGCUACAAUGGUUGGUACAACGAGUUGCGAGUCGGUGACGGCGAGCUAAUCUCUUAAAGCCAAUCUCAGUUCGGAUUGUAGGCUGCAACUCGCCUACAUGAAGUCGGAAUCGCUAGUAAUCGCGGAUCAGCACGCCGCGGUGAAUACGUUCCCGGGCCUUGUACACACCGCCCGUCACACCACGAGAGUUUGUAACACCCGAAGUCGGUGAGGUAACCUUUGGAGCCAGCCGCCUAAGGUGGACAGAGAGGGGG
rnacentral:rRNA from 1 species